CUCUCCGCCGGAUAGUCGCCAUGGUCACCGCUAUCCUAGUCGUCGGGCAGGGCCGAACCUGGCUAAAGAAACCUCCAGCAGAGCUUCAAGGAUGCACCGCGUGAUCCCUAUCGGAUCUCCCCGAUGCAUCAGGCCUGCCCAGUGUUGGGGGCGCGUCUCCUUGAAUGCUGUCCCGCCUGGGAUUUGAAGGAAUUAUCCGAUGAAAAGUAGAAGAGGUUGAAUGGCUUUCAGUGGCCCUUUCUUCACAGAUUAUUCAGUAAGAACAGUCUCAGGAAAACAGGACCUUCAACAGAGAUAAGAGAAUUAAAAUACGCAGACUAACAACUCUGGGAAUGGGCUGACCGGCCUGAUAAGAAUAGGCUGACGGCACCUACAGAAGGCCACAAAACACUGAUCAAGAAAGUAAUGACCUGAGACUGCACAUUUCACAAGAAUGUUUUGAUCAUCAUUUUUCCUAAUUUCCCUUAAAAUCCCCUGAUAUGGAGACAGAACUCAGUGGUCUUUGAACACUAGUUCACUGCCUCCCCUGAGUUGCUGGCUUCCUGAAUAAAGCUAACCUUCCUUUCACCAAUGCUCAUCUCUUGAGCUUUCAAGUGGCAAGUAGUCUGGACCUGAAUUUGGUUACAAAACCUAUGUAUACCUUACCUUACAUGGCAAAGGGGACUUUAGAAGUGCAAUUAAAUUAAGGAUCUUGAGAGGGGGUUAUCCUGGAUUAUCUGGUUGGGCCCAAUGUAUUUAUAAGUGAUAGAGGGAGGCAGGUGAGUAAAAGAAGGAAAUGUGAUGAUGAAAGCAAAGGUCGAAAUGUGAUUGCUGGCUUUGAAAACAGAUGGAAG